AGGUUUUUUGCAUAGGUUUAUGCCCCUAAAAAUUUACUCUGACCCCCCAAAUUUUUUAGAGUUCUUAAGAAAUGUUUCAAGCCCCCAAAUUCUCAGAUCUGGCCCUGAUUAAACACAGAUGUAUGACAUCACAGCUAACAAUGAAGAUCGAGAGGAAGCAAACACAACACAAAGAGAGAAAAUAUCUCCGGUAAUCAAAACUCUUGGAGCAACAUAAGAGUUCAUAUGGUGAACAGGAUGAAAAAAACACAGCCGAACACAAAAUAAUGCCUUAACUUAACAAUGCGAAAUGUAAUUUUAGGAAUGUAUGAGCUUGUUCAUAAAACUACAUAUAUGUGAGAACAAAAUAAUAUACGCACUCAAGCAUUGGAUUGAAGCAAGAAGAUUAUAGCUCCCAUUUUAUCAAUCGACUACCUCGUUGAUCUUGACCACAGAUGGCAUCACCAGCUUUC
rnacentral:lncRNA from 1 species